UCUCCAGACUCCUACGGGAGGCAGCAGUGAGGAAUAUUGGUCAAUGGGCUUACGCCUGAACCAGCCAAGUCGCGUGAGGGAAGACUGCCCUAUGGGUUGUAAACCUCUUUUGUCAGGGAGCAAUUGGCGCUACGUGUAGCGUUAUCGAGAGUACCUGAAGAAAAAGCAUCGGCUAACUCCGUGCCAGCAGCCGCGGUAAUACGGAGGAUGCGAGCGUUAUCCGGAUUUAUUGGGUUUAAAGGGUGCGCAGGCGGAAGAUCAAGUCAGCGGUAAAAUUGAGAGGCUCAACCUCUGCGAGCCGUUGAAACUGGUUUUCUUGAGUGAGUGAGAAGUAUGCGGAAUGCGUGGUGUAGCGGUGAAAUGCAUAGAUAUCACGAAGAACCCCGAUUGCGAAGGCAGCAUACCGGCUCCACACUGACGCUGAGGCACGAAAGCGUGGGUAUCGAACAGGAUUAGAUACCCGCGUA
rnacentral:rRNA from 1 species